rnacentral:rRNA from 1 species
UACGAAGGGGGCUAGCGUUGCUCGGAAUUACUGGGCGUAAAGCGCGCGUAGGCGGCUUGGUAAGUUUGAUGUGAAAUCCCAUGGCUCAACCAUGGAACUGCAUCUCAUACUGCCGAGCUAGAGUCUGGGAGAGGGAAGCGGAAUUCCCGGUGUAGCGGUGAAAUGCGUAGAUAUCAGGAAGAACACCCGUGGCUAAGGCGGCUCUCUAGUACGGUACUGACGCUGAGACGCGAAAGCGUGGGGAGCGAACAGG